rnacentral:rRNA from 1 species
UACGAAGGGGGCUAGCGUUGCUCGGAAUCACUGGGCGUAAAGGGUGCGUAGGCGGGUUUUUAAGUCAGGGGUGAAAUCCUGGAGCUCAACUCCAGAACUGCCUUUGAUACUGAAGAUCUUGAGUCCGGGAGAGGUGAGUGGAACUGCGAGUGUAGAGGUGAAAUUCGUAGAUAUUCGCAAGGACACCAGUGGCGAAGGCGGCUCACUGGCCCGGUACUGACGCUGAGGCACGAAAGCGUGGGGAGCAAACAGG